rnacentral:tRNA from 1 species
GUCCCCGUCGUUCAACGGAUAGGACGAAGGUUUCCUAAACCUUAAAUGAAGGUUCGAUUCCUUCCGGGGGCA